rnacentral:lncRNA from 1 species
UGGUGGUGUCCUGUACUUUCCUGGGGUGAUAGUAGUAAAAGUGGGUGUGGUUUGCCUCCUUUAAAUACAUCAUCUAGUCUAGAGAUGUGGAAAUUUCCUCAAACUGAUAUGUAGUAAUAUAAUAACCCUUUUAGAAAACCUGAAUUACUUCAUUGAAAAAAGUCAAUUUAUGUAUAUCUAGUAGCUGCAUUUUUUGAAAACUAGACAACAUGCACAUGAUAAAAAAUUCAAAAGUUAUGUAAAAAGGCAUAAAAGGAAAAGUGAACCUCUCUUCUACACUAUCCCCUAGUCCCCCUUCCCUGAAGCACCAGUGUCACCAAUUUGUUUAUCCUUCUAGAUG